rnacentral:rRNA from 1 species
GUAGGUGGCAAGCGUUGUCCGGAAUUAUUGGGCGUAAAGCGCGCGCAGGCGGUUCUUUAAGUCUGAUGUGAAAGCCCACGGGCUCAACCGUGGAGGGUCAUUGGAAACUGGAGAACUUGAGUACAGAAGAGGAAAGCGGAAUUCCACGUGUAGCGGUGAAAUGCGUAGAGAUGUGGAGGAACACCAGUGGCGAAGGCGGCUUUCUGGUCUGUAACUGACGCUGAGGCGCGAAAGCGUGGGGAGCAAACAGGAUUAGAUACCCUGGUAGUCCACGCCGUAAACGAUGAGUGCUAAGUGUUAGGGGGUUUCCGCCUCUUAGUGCUGCAGCUAACGCAUUAAGCACUCCGCCUGGGGAGUACGGCCGCAAGGCUG